rnacentral:rRNA from 1 species
GACGUAGGGUGCAAGCGUUGUCCGGAUUUACUGGGCGUAAAGAGCGCGUAGGCGGUCCAUUAAGUGUGAAGCUAAAUCUCUUGGCUUAACCAAGAACUAUUUCGCAUACUGAUGGGCUGGAGUGAUGCAGAGGUGGAUAGAAUUCCCGGUGUAGCGGUGAAAUGCGUUGAUAUCGGGAGGAAUACCCGUGGCGAAGGCGGUCCACUGGGCAUCAACUGACGCUGAGGCGCGAAAGCGUGGGUAGCAAACAGG